UAACUACGUGCCAGCAGCCGCGGGAAUACGUAGGGGGCGAACGUUAUCCGGAAUUACUGGGGGUAAAAGGGUGCGUAGGCGGCAACGUAAGUCUGUUGUGAAAGGUGAUGGCUUAACCAGCGAAGUGCAAUGGAAACUGCCGAGCCUAAGUGCAGGAGAGGAAAGCGGAAAUUCCUAGUGUAGCGGUGAAAUGCGUAGAUUUUAGGAGGAACACCAGUGGCCAAGGCGGCUGUGCUGGACGGGAACUGGACUUUGAAGGCUCCAAAGCGUGGGGGACAAACAGGAUUAGAUACCCCUGGUAGCCCACCCCGAAACAAAGAAUACUAGGUGUGGGGGGACUGACCCCCUCCGUGCCGCAGUUAACACAAUAAGUAUUCCACCUGGGGAGUACGACCGCAAGGUUGAAACUCAAAGGAAUUGACGGGGGCCCGCACAAGCAGUGGAUUAUGUGGUUUAAUUCGAAGCAACGCGAAGAACCUUACCAGGGCUUGACAUCCAACUAACGAAGCAGAGAUGCAUUAGGUGCCCUUCGGGGAAAGUUGAGACAGGUGGUGCAUGGUUGUCGUCAGCUCGUGUCGUGAGAUGUUGGGUUAAGUCCCGCAACGAGCGCAACCCCUAUUGUUAGUUGCUACGCAAGAGCACUCUAGCGAGACUGCCGUUGACAAAACGGAGGAAGGUGGGGACGACGUCAAAUCAUCAUGCCCCUUAUGUCCUGGGCUACACACGUAAUACAAUGGCGUUUAACAGAGGGAAGCAAAGCCGCGAGGCAGAGCAAAUCCCCAAAAAGCGUCUCAGUUCGGAUUGCAGGCUGCAACCCGCCUGCAUGAAGUCGGAAUUGCUAGUAAUCGCGGAUCAGCAUGCCGCGGUGAAUACGGGCCCGGGCCUUGUACACACCGCCCGUCA
rnacentral:rRNA from 1 species